rnacentral:rRNA from 1 species
AUGCCUAGGCUCUCAGAGGCGAUGAAGGACGUGAUAAGCUGCGAAAAGCUGCGGGGACUGGCACAUACAGGUUGAUCCGCAGAUAUCCGAAUGGGGCAACCCAGCAUGUUGAAGACAUGUUACUCCGCAAGGAGGGCGAACCCGGAGAACUGAAACAUCUAAGUACCCGGAGGAGAAGAAAACAAUAGUGAUUGCGCUAGUAGUGGCGAGCGAACGCGCAUUAGCCCAAACCAUGUAGCUUACGGGCUGCAUGGG